UACCAGCACCCCGAGUGGUCGGGACGUUUAUUGGGCCUAAAGCAUCCGUAGCCGGUUCUACAAGUCUUCCGUUAAAUCCAGCUGCUUAACAGAGUGGGCUGCGGAAGAUACUAUGGAGCUAGGAGGCGGGAGAGGCAAGCGGUACUCGAUGGGUAGGGGUAAAAUCCGUUGAUCCAUUGAAGACCACCAGUGGCGAAGGCGGCUUGCCAGAACGCGCUCGACGGUGAGGGAUGAAAGCUGGGGGAGCAAACCGG
rnacentral:rRNA from 1 species